rnacentral:rRNA from 1 species
AACGAACGCUGGCGGCGUGCCUAACACAUGCAAGUCGUGCGAGAAAGUUCCUUCGGGAGCGAGUAAAGCGGCGCACGGGUGAGUAACACGUAGGUAACCUGCCCCCCAGUCUGGAACAACUAGAGGAAACUCUAGCUAAUGCCGGAUGAGACCACGAUCCCUUCGGGGGUUGCGGCCAAAGAUGGCCUCUACUUGUAAGCUAUCGCUGAGGGAUGGGCCUGCGGGCCAUUAGCUUGUUGGUGAGGUAACGGCUCACCAAGGCUGUGAUGGCUAGCUGGUCUGAGAGGAUGACCAGCCACACUGGGACUGAGACACGGCCCAGACUCCUACGGGAGGCAGCAGUGGGGAAUAUUGCGCAAUGGGCGAAAGCCUGACGCAGCGACACCGCGUGGGUGAUGAAGGCCU